CCCCCAGCGGGGGAGACGGGGGGCGCCCGCCUGUCUGGGCUUCCCCCCGCCCGGGGAUGCUGGCGAGCCCCGGAGCCUGUAGCGGGCAGCAGCGCCCGGAGCGAGGGGAGUGUCUGUCCGACAGCCGCCGCAGGCGCCUCCGACUUACCUUCAUCGUCGAGCUCUAGUUUCUCCAGCAUCCCUUCGGAGGCGGCCGGGGGCUGAGGAGAAGCCGGAGCCGCCGCCGCCGCAGCUGCUGCUGCCGCCGCCGCCUGCGGAAGGGGGAAAGCGGAGAAGGGGAUCAGCAUCCAGGCGCGGACCUACCGGACCCGCGGCGGCAUCGGACGCAGCCCGGCGUGGCGGCGGCUGAGCCGGUCUGAGGGAGGGGAGUGGCCGCUAGCCCGACGCCGUGGAGGGAGGGGGUUGCCCCUCCGCCUGACGGGGCUCGAUUUGUGCUGUCUCCUACACGCACUGGGGGAGGGGAGGAGGCGGGACCUCGCCCAGCCCAUUAACCCUUUGCACCCAGGCCGGAUAGGGCUCUGUCCGUUCGAGAGGCCGCAGGCCUGUGACGUGGGAGGUCUCGCGUCUCCUCAGCAUCCUUCUAGUCAGCGAGCCGCCGUUUACGUCCGUUAGAUUCCACGGGCAGCCAAAAGAACCUUUGGGGGAGAAAGUUCCACCCCGUUCCCCUCGCGGUCCCCCUGUCUGGGGCCUGACUGGAAUUUGGAACAUUCCGUUUUGCUGCAAUCAAGCCGGCUGCUCCGCACAGGAGGGAAGACAGAGAGGCUGUGGUAAAUGAAGCUGUAAGGAGUGUGGGGACUGGAUUUUGGAGAGAUGGAACAAGUGGAGUAGUCUUCAUGCUCCUAGCAAGUUACUGUACCGCCGGGCAAAGUUUGGACACCCUGCUCUAAAGUUACAGCUCAGAAGUUAUGAGCGUCUUAAAAACAGGUUUACAACCAGAAUGUUGACACAGAUAGAACCUUAAUACAGCUCUGCUAGCAAUCUUUAUGGAGGCAAAGUAAAACAAACAACUUACGAGAACAGAAACUGACCAUCCAAAGGGUAUAGUAUGUUGGAUGUCAGGGGCUAUACUGGAAUUUUUGUGACCAAGAGGUUCUUCUAGUUGUUAUUGCAGAAGCUGUACCCUAGAAGAAACAUCUGCUGUGUCAAGCGCCAACUGAAUCACUGAUGUGGCUGCUAGAGGACCUUCUGCCAGGAAAGCCUUAAACUCUCCCUUUGCAUCUUCAGGGAGUUUUUCAGUGAAUUUAGACGUGAUCCAGUUUACAAAGUCAUUCUUUUAUAAAUGAACCUGCUGAUUAGCUAUGCAUGUCUGGAGAGACAAGGCAGAAUAAAUCUUU